GGUACUAUUGGCGUCCCUUUUGACGCAGUUAUGUUAAGGAAAAGGUCGUGGAUGGGCUUAGGUUUCCGUGAUACGAGGGAAUAACGGGACGGUUGGGUUUAGGAAAAAAAAAAAGCAACUUUAAGAAAUGUGCCAGGCGGG